GUAGAGAAUAUUGUCUCUCUUUAUGAUGUUUCCAACAUAUGGCAUGUUCCUUUGCAGCUAAGAGACUAGAAGGCGCAUAAGGCCAUUUUGAGAGCCCUGAACCUCAAUGGAGUUGCAAAGGAACAUGAAUUGAACUUUGUGACUUGCUACAUAAACCAGUAAGAGUGACCAUGGUUGGAAAGUACACGGGCCUGUCAGAUUCUUACCACUCUGUACUGAAGAACUAUCUCAUGUGCUUUGUUUACUCAGUAAAAGCUUAAGCUAGAAAUUGAGGAAGCAUAUAAGAACAAGAAGGCUUGAGGAUGUGAGACAACUUGGAUAUGACAGGGAAAAUUGUCUUUUAACACUGAAGAACGAAGUCGAGCAUUGUGUUAAAAUGGCAGAAUUGAUAGAAUAUAAUUUGGAAGAUGUUCAUGCUGCUAUCUUAGCAAUCCGUGUUGCACUUGCAAAAGGAAUGAGUUGGGAUGAUCUAGCUCGUAUGGUGAAAGAGGAUAAGAAAUCUGGGAAUCCAAUUUCAGGACUUAUUGACAAGUUGCAUCUUGAAAGAAAUCACUACUACAAAAAUACCUUUUAACGUCGGUUAUUUUUCGGCGUAGUUCUAGCAGACGUUAUAA